rnacentral:lncRNA from 1 species
UUUUUAUGACAAGGGAAACCCGCAGCCGCUACCCUUUGGGUGCGCACAGGGUAAAACCCCCGCUCCUAUGCAAUAGCUCGCAAACCACAUAGGAGAGGUAACCCACACUAGGCAAGCCUGGUGCGACGAGCUCGACCCAGAAGGCAAACCCCUUGCUUUCGCUGGCAAGGGGUUUCAAACUUGAGACCUCCAACAUGGAAGUCCCAAGCUCAAACCACUGG